rnacentral:lncRNA from 1 species
GUGGGUUCGCGGCCGCCGGCCCAGUGAGGCUGGGUUCGAGGAGCUGGAGCGGGAAACUGGAGCUUAAAUUCUGGCGGCGAGAUGGACAUUCUGAAAUCAGAGAUCCUUCGGAAGCGGCAGCUGGUGGAGGACAGGAACCUGCUGAGAGAAUACGUGAAGGCAAAUGAUGCUUAUCUUCAGAUGGCCAUUGGAAAUGCGCCUUGGCCCAUCGGUGUCACUAUGUGAAGUUGACACAAAAUUAACCAUCACAGCUGCCUUCCUGUGGGCCUCAUGUUAUAUGAGAACAGUAUUGGGUGUACACUUAAAGCGUUCUGGGAAUAUGAAUCCCUUCUGCACCCUGGAAUCACCAGUCCAGCCAUGCAUGGAGCUGGGGAAAGCAGGCCCUGAAUUGUCUAGAGAGACUUGGUGGAGGAGGCCACGGCCCGCCUUGUCCCUGCCGGGUCCCGGCCAGGUGUGUGUGUGCCCCAGCUCGACUCUCGGUGGUCUCCAGGCUGCAGCAGAAGGAAUACCUUGGGCCCUGUGCUAAUCACGAGUCUUUCCUGUUCGGAGCAGUGAGGCCUGAGACCCUCAACAGUGCUGUGUGUACAGAAGGCCCCCAGAAUCCACACAAAGGGGCCGCCUGAAACCUAGAGCAUUUGUGAAGGAGGAAAAUGGAAGGAACAACUGGAUGUUGUAAAUGUUUCUCAUCUGGCCUUAAAAUCCAUGAAAGCUGGAAAAUCACAAGGCAUCUGUGCAUAUACUGGUGGAUUUUAAUGAGAGUCCUGUGUUUGGAGCACCAGAAAUAAACCAGCUUCAGAAGCAAAGAUCUGAACGUCUAUGACACUCUUUCGAGCUGACACAGUGAAGAACAUAGAAGGAGAACUCACCCAGUCUGCCAGGGUCACAGAAUGAUCAUACUCAAGAUCUUCCUGGGGAGUCAAUGGCAAAUUUCACUGGGCUAUUUUACAGAUGAAGAAGGAACAUAAAGAAGGUUCUGGGACCCCGAAGUCCACGGAACACCCACCAUUACCUGAUCUUUGGAGCUUGUCAUUUGGCCAGUGGACCCUAAUAAACGUCCACGGGGAUGUGGGGAUAGAAUGCCAGAGCCUGGCUCGCUAGGGCAUCCAGGUUCUUCCUUCCUCUUUGCCCUGCUGUCUCCAGGCACCAAGAAUCUCCUACAGUUCCCCAAAGAUGAACCCCCCAUUAUCUCAGGUCACUCUGUUUCCCCCGAUCUUUACCAAAUUCCUGACUCAGAGUUCCUCCCAUUUGCUUCUGACUCUCAUUUUAUUCUUACCUCUCAUUUUAUUCUUAUGAUGUUUACCAUUUCUCUUCUCCUCAGUGUCCCUCUCUGAGUGGUAAGAGUAUGUUAAUAAGCCAGUGCUGAGACCGGAGCACGAGGCAACUGCUCAAUGUUGGUCAUUGUCACUGUUAUUAAAUGUAACUUAAGGGAA